rnacentral:rRNA from 1 species
UACGAAGGGGGCUAGCGUUGCUCGGAAUCACUGGGCGUAAAGCGCACGUAGGCGGAUUGCUAAGUCAGGGGUGAAAUCCUGGAGCUCAACUCCAGAACUGCCUUUGAUACUGGCGAUCUUGAGUCCGGGAGAGGUGAGUGGAACUCCGAGUGUAGAGGUGAAAUUCGUAGAUAUUCGCAAGAACACCAGUGGCGAAGGCGGCUCACUGGCCCGAUACUGACGCUGAGGCACGAAAGCGUGGGGAGCAAACAGG